ensembl:lncRNA
CUCCACCUCAGCACUCGUGCGUCAGCAGUCUGCUAUUACAGUUGAUAUGGUUCUGGAAUAACCACCAUAGUGAGUCAGUCACACUACGGUAGUCUAACAAGGUCACUUUGAAGCUGCAGCAGUGCAGAGUCAGUGAAGAUUUGUUAGGAGUUUUAAAAUGGUAUUCAAUUACACAUGGCUAGUCAGGCAUGUGUGCUUGAGCACACAGAGAGACAACCAGACACUUGGUCAUAUGUAAGUCGGUGAAUGUACCACGCAGCAUACCCAGGGGUCAAAUAAACAGUUCCACUUCAGUAGUAUCUUGUAAACAAAUACCACGGUUAAUUUACGCAUUUGCUGCCUGACAUAGUCAUGUCCAAGGUUAUAGUUGAAACUUGCCCUCUGCUUCUAAUCCCUUCUCCACUUUCUAUUUCUUCUCUUACUCUUCUUAUCCAUUUUCUUUCUUUCUCUCUCUCUCGCUCAUGCACUUCCUCAUUUGAGUCUCCCCCUCUCUUCUCUCCCAUCUCUCCUUUCUUCUUUUGUUCAUGCUGCUUGAGUUUCACAGAUGGAGUGACUUGAGGCCAUGGCAGUUAUGCAAAACAGAGUUCAAAUAAAUGUAGGGCUCCCACAAUGAAAAUAGCAUAAGAGGCAUGCACACAAACACUCCUUUAUGGUAUGAACAUUUUGCGGUGGAGGUAGUAAAGUACGUUCAGGAUUUCAUUAUUAUAAACGCAGGGAGGUUUUUGUGUGGUUUUUCUCUUCUUUUUUUUUUUUUUUUGGUUUGUUGUUUGUGUGCCUGGCCAAAAUGAAACCAUUGUUGAACCACACAUCAGCACACAUUUAGGAAAAAGAAUCCAGAUCAGUCCGACCCUGAACUGUAAUCAGGGGAAAUGAAUUAUUCCCUCGACAGUACAUAGCUUUUGGCUAUUUAAUACAGUAUAAAGUAUAGCAAGCAGUACUGUAUACUAUGUAUUCUAUAUGAAAAUCUCCAUACUGAAAUUGUCUGAUUUUUAUUACUUCUAUUUUCAAGAGCUGGGUAUGAUUGUAACAGAGUCAUGCUUAGUGUUAUCACAUCUAAAAGUGUGUUUAGAUAAGCUACCUAACCUUCUAAAUAAGUCCACAGAGUGUACGUUUAUGUGACAGAAAGCAUACUAUGGACUACACAAGCUUAAUCACUGAGCAUUUUCACCUUGGAUUUGUACCUGUGGCAGUGCUUUUUAAGACUGUUGAUAAACAGUCAUGCCAUUCUUUGUUAGCACGGCUUAUGCAGACUGGGUCACUCUCAUGCUCUCUUCAAAUUCAGUGUAUGGACACUCUGCAAUUGCCCUUUCCAGUUUCCUGGAAUAAUUUAAAAUUAAUUUGCCCUCUGUUAUGAUGAGCCUGCCCAUAUGGAAAAGAAAUAGUAAAAACUUAUAAAAGACUUGCAUAAGAUGUGGCCUACUUCAUAUAGUA